rnacentral:rRNA from 1 species
UACGGGGGGAGCAAGCGUUGUUCGGAUUUACUGGGCGUAAAGGGCGCGUAGGCGGCCACUGCAAGUCAGUUGUGAAAUCUCCGGGCUUAACUCGGAAAGGUCAACUGAUACUGCAGGGCUAGAGUGCGGAAGGGGCAACUGGAAUUCUCGGUGUAGCGGUGAAAUGCGUAGAUAUCGAGAGGAAGGCCGGUGGCGAAGGCGGGUUGCUGGGCUGACACUGACGCUGAACUGCGAAAGCUAGGG